rfam:Magnaporthe oryzae 70-15 chromosome 3, whole genome shotgun sequence.
GGCAACAUGGCCGAGUGGUUAUGGCGUAGGAUUUAGGUCCCAACAACUGAAAUUCCUAUGGAGCAAUCCGCGAGGGUUCGAUCCCCUCUGUUGUCA